rnacentral:lncRNA from 1 species
CUCAACUCUGGACAUAAGGAUGAAAUUGUUUUGUCAUAAAAAACCUAGCACAUCCAUUUCGAGUGAAGGUAUAUAGAUGUGUUUUCAUUAAAUAGAAUACAGGUAGGAUGGACUACAAGAGGUUUCUGAAAUAGUUACUAACAGCUCUUUGCCUGCAAGAGUUCUUGUGAAAUGAGCUACCUAGUUAAUAGUUUGCUAUGUGAGCAUUGUUGUGUGAAUUGCAUGCACGCUGUCAGUGCCUGCUUAUUGUCAAUUGACUUCCGAAUUUCAGGGGCACCAUGUGGCAGAGUGUCUGAUUUUAAUAUCACAAAGCUGAUGCCUAGAGUAAUUGUAAUGAACAUGGCUGCAUUUGGAAGCUGCCACUUUAGAGCUAGUACUUAAGCUGAGAAGUCCAGUUGUGUGCACUUAAGGAAGAGAGCGAGAGCAUGGAAGCGCUUUGCAGUGUAAAAAUACUCUGUAACUUGAUCACAUGCUUCUUUUCCAGAGUUGUUGAAGCAGAGGAAUGCUGAGACUAAGCUGCAGCAGUUACAUACCCAGUGCUCGACAGAAUUGGUUUGGUACAGGCAAUAGAUUCUUUUUGUCUUCAAGGGAGGGAGGCAUCAGUGCUGGUUAAACCUUAAUUAGGGAGUAGCGAUCAUUUAAAAUUGACCAAAGGAAGAGAGGGAGAUGGAGAAAUUGGUAAGUGGAGGUACCUAGCCAAGAAGUUCUCAUGGCUCUUUGUGUUGAGGCAAAGUAAUGGGGCAACUGUGCAAUUUAGAGCUGACGCUCACUGAGUUAGCUGGGACUAUAUAACUCCAUGGUGGAGUGCUUGCCUAAGUUCAAUCCCUGGCACCACACACAGACAAAGAACACUCAAUCAGAAAGCUGCUUCCAUAAUAGCUUUCUGCACUGAUGUCUGAUUUUCAGCAAGUAAACCGUCUGAGGAAUUACCUUAUGGGGGGGGGGGGAAACAUUACGUGUCCUAUAAAACUUUGAAGGGGAGGAGGAAUGCUAGGAAAUAAAAGUAAAAACUGAAACAUUGUUAGGAUGGUGGGAAGCAUGCUGGAAACAAGUAUAGGUCACCAAGUCAGUGUAGUUCUAUAAAGCUACUUGAUCUCAGGGCUCAGGCUUCAAAACAAAUCAGGAUCCAACUCUGGUUUUGCUUUGGAAACUUAAGAGCCAGGAGUGUAAGUGUUGGUGUUCUCACAGGAAGCAGGUUGUUGUAGGGCUAAAGGAUUUAACUCAACUUCUGAGAUUUUUCUUACAAAGUCAUUUAGUACUGUUACAUUUAGCAUUUAUGACUACGGAGAAUGAUCCAAAACACUUAAGCCCCAUUGGUCACAUUUAUCAUCAGAUGGUGAGGGUACUGACCAAAUUUUAGUAGUUGUGCUUGAAUAGCUACCUUAAGCCUUCGGUAGUCUAAUAAUUCCUUGAGUAGGUGCUUCUGUCAAGAACCUUCAGCUCUCAAGCAUUUAUUUAGACUUCUUAAUGAUAGUUUAGCAUAGGGAAUACUAGAGUAAAAGUAAAUGCUGAAUUCAAAGGAGUGGGAAGAAAUUAUUCAGAGACCUUUUUGACAAAUAGUAACGUUUACAGACCCAACCGUUCUUAAAAAUCUUCAAUUAGGAAAACUCUCCUUGAUUUCUUCUGGCUAAAUACUGGUUGUAAAAUGAUUUGAAUAAUACAAAAAGUGGUGUGGUUUAUUUGGUUUUGUAGUUGGAUAGAGUGUAGGUAUUGUAGAUCACUUUUUUGGAAUGUUUUGUAUUGAAACCCAAU